AGUGAACGCUGGCGGUAGGCCUAACACAUGCAAGUCGAACGGCAGCACAGUAAGAGCUUGCUCUUACGGGUGGCGAGUGGCGGACGGGUGAGGAAUACAUCGGAAUCUACUUUUUCGUGGGGGAUAACGUAGGGAAACUUACGCUAAUACCGCAUACGACCUACGGGUGAAAGCAGGGGAUCUUCGGACCUUGCGCGAUUGAAUGAGCCGAUGUCGGAUUAGCUAAUUGGCGGGGUAAAGGCCCACCAAGGCGACGAUCCGUAGCUGGUCUGAGAGGAUGAUCAGCCACACUGGAACUGAGACACGGUCCAGACUCCUACGGGAGGCAGCAGUGGGGAAUAUUGGACAAAGGGCGCAAGCCUGAUCCAGCCAUACCGCGUGGGUGAAGAAGGCCUUCGGGUUGUAAAGCCCUUUUGUUGGGAAAGAAAAGCAGCAGGUUAAUACCCCGCUGUUCUGACGGUACCCAAAGAAUAAGCACCGGCUAACUUCGUG
rnacentral:rRNA from 1 species